rnacentral:lncRNA from 1 species
UUUUGGUAAACGUUGAGUUUUUCCCAUUACGUCCGCUGACAUAUGGUUGUAUCCUUUCCUAGUCAUCCCUAGUAGAGUUGAUUUACCUCUCCGUUGGUCUUGGUAAACGUUGAGUUUUUCCUAGUUGUCCGUUGGCAUCUAGUUGAGAUUUCGGAUCCCGGUCAUUGUCGUCCGAUUGUCUGGAUGUGCUUGUGCUUUUGAAGAGAAGACAGAAGAAUAAAAAAAAAAAAGACAGAAGAAUAAAAAAAAACAAAAGAAAGAAAAACAACAAAAAAA